rnacentral:rRNA from 1 species
AUGCAAGUCGAGCGGAAACGAGUUAUCUGAACCUUCGGGGAACGAUAACGGCGUCGAGCGGCGGACGGGUGAGUAAUGCCUAGGAAAUUGCCCUGAUGUGGGGGAUAACCAUUGGAAACGAUGGCUAAUACCGCAUGAUGCCUACGGGCCAAAGAGGGGGACCUUCGGGCCUCUCGCGUCAGGAUAUGCCUAGGUGGGAUUAGCUAGUUGGUGAGGUAAGGGCUCACCAAGGCGACGAUCCCUAGCUGGUCUGAGAGGAUGAUCAGCCACACUGGAACUGAGACACGGUCCAGACUCCUACGGGAGGCAGCAGUGGGGAAUAUUGCACAAUGGGCGCAAGCCUGAUGCAGCCAUGCCGCGUGUAUGAAGAAGGCCUUCGGGUUGUAAAGUACUUUCAGUCGUGAGGAAGGCGGUGUCGUUAAUAGCGGCAUCGUUUGACGUUAGCGACAGAAGAAGCACCGGCUAACUCCGUGCCAGCAGCCGCGGUAAUACGGAGGGUGCGAGCGUUAAUCGGAAUUACUGGGCGUAAAGCGCAUGCAG